UUGGAAAAGAAAUGUAAAAGGUAAAUCAAUUUAAUCUUGGUAUUAAUAUGGUGUUUAGUUUGUUGCUAUAAUUCUUUUUCAUUACAUUUGAAUUUGUUUUUCGAUUUGUUAGAGUAUUGUUCUUGAUCGUUGGAGUGGGACGAAGAACAUGUUCACCGAAUUUCUUGAGAUUUCAAAAGGAGCUGAUAAAGUAGUCUUUUAAUUCUGCUUUUGAUUUUUAUAUUAAUUUAUUUUCAAUUUAUUUACUUAAUUUUUU
rnacentral:lncRNA from 1 species